AGUGAAAGAAGAGGCUGCUUUGAGUAGGAAAGAUGAAGAACUCGGAAUCUGAAUAGGUUUUGUAUGCAAGACAACAUGCAAGAGGGUAGGAUAUCAUCCAUUGUCCCAGCAGGACCUGCAAUACCAAUUAAAAUUCGUGUCAUAAGAAAGUGGCAGCCUCGCCUAUGAAACAGCGACAUGUACUACUUUUUCAUAGACAAACAUGGUGAUGGAAUACAAGCUAGCGUGCACUGGCUAGACAAAGAACUUUUCGAAAGGAAAAUCACCCUUUUCUCAUGCUACCUUCUGGAAAAAAUACAUAUGUGAUGACCAGCCAACACCACCAAGAGUGAAUUCACACAUCGCAAGCAUUCACAUGGGAACAAAAGCACCACUAACCUUAAUUCCUACACCAGAUGCAUUUCCAAUGUACUAUUUCAACUUUUGUCCCUAUUGCGACCUUUCACUUCAUACUGGUGACGAUCAAGAACUC